UCCUGGACCGGGAAGUAAUGUGCUCAGCGGGCCUGUCCCAGAUCCGCCCAGGGAGGGGCCUAGAGCGGAUCGGGACAAGGCCAGGCCCGGGCCGGCCCCGCCUUCUGCGCCAUCUCUCUUUACCAGCCAGCCUGCCUGGUUGAUUUCUCCAGAUGUUUUGUGACCUCAUCUCUUAUUAACGCCUCGAGGACUCUGCCUGCCACCAGGGUCAGAUGUGCUGCCUCCUUGCUGGUCAGCCCCCGAGUCCCUUUCCCAGAGACGGGAGUUUGCUGUCUCUCAGUCUGUCAGUGUCUCUCAUUUCCAAAAGAACCCUUUAAAAACAUCUGUUGUCGGAGGAGCAAUCACUGCCCUCACCUCAUGAAUGACUACGGACAGAGCGAAGAGCCCUCGCAGGCGUCAGAUCAGCGGACCCUGACGUUCUGGAUGAAUCAGGAAAUGGCGUUUAACCCCCCGAGCAGCAUCUUGUCUCGUGCGCUCUUCCCUCCAUGAACUGUUGAACUCCAGGCAGAAAAGGAAAGGAAACGAAGCACACUUGCCUGCAGGAGAACUUGCAGCUGGGCCGCUGGUGUGGCUGGAGUUGCAAUCUGGGGGCUUUUUCCUUUUCGUACCCUUUGAGAUGUCACUGGGGAGAGUCUCGUCUUUGCCUGAACCAUUCUGCCUGGAAAUCGCAGCCUGGAGAGAAAUGGCUCCUGGGACUGGAGAUCCAGCCCGGACCUUGCUGGGCUUUGGUCUCUCCACCCGAUCCUCACACACAAAGAGGAACCCAGUGCAUCCUGAACCUUGAGUUUCUCCUUCCUACCACAAUGUGUGCGUUUUAAAUGAAUAUUUUAUGUAAAAGAGGCAUGCCCCGAGGGACUCUUUGCAAAGGGGAAGUGGGAUUUCAGUAAGCCAGCAACCUCCACACCCAGGUAGACUCCUUCCAGCUACCGGAGACCCUAUUUAGGACGCCAAGACUAUGCCGCUGUCAUCUCCUUGAGUUCUCCAGCAAAACGUCUGUUUCUAGAGGCCAGCAAGGUGUUUGUCAUUUCCACUCGAGUUGUAGUUAGUCAGGAAAAUCACAGGGAAAGGUUUGAGCUAAAUAUGCCGGGAGGAAGAAAACCCCCAGGCACUUGGCACUUUGUUUGCAGGAUGGUCCUUCACAAACAGACAGUCUACCGGCCCAGGUGACCUCCUUGCCUGUGGCCUGGGAGGAGAGCUCAUCUCCACCAGGAACUUGGUACCCAGGUCACUGUCCCACAUCGGUCCUCCCAGACCUUGAAAAUGGCCGCUUCCGUCCUAAGUAACAGCAUUUAGGGCAUGCAAGGCAAGAUCUGAAGUACGAUCCCCAAGCCUUCCAAUUUGAAACUGAAUUUAGGUUAUGGCCAUCAAAAUCUGGCAAAGGAGACCUCUAGGUAAUUCCACCUGUUGAAUAAUUUUUCCCUCUAAAACAGCACGGUCACAAGUAGAGUUGGGAGCUGCUGGCUCCCAGGUUCCCUGGUGACAGCGUGGACGCACGGGGUGACAGGAGGCUGCGCAAUGUUGAGAGUAACAGCGUAGACAACAGGCGAUUGAUCCUUCCGAGGGUGAAGGAGCUCGUCUCUAAUUUUCAAGGGCUGUGCUUUGCUUCCCUGAGGCUGACUAGCUGUGACGGUCCCACAGGCAAUCACAUCUGCUCUUAAACUUUAGCUGGUCAACAGGAGCAGUGUUCCAGGAAUAGGCCCCUUUCAGCGCUGUUAUCAGUAUCCCAAAAAUCCUCAGCAGACACUUCUCCUCCAUCUCCAGAGUGGCUGAAGCUGGAGGCAGGUCUAUGCCCCCGGUCUGAGGGGCGGGGGACGCCGUGCCCUCAGCCCGCACCCCGCGGUGCGCCUGCCCAGCUCCCCCUCCGCUUCCCCGGCUGCUCCUUUCCCAGGCUGCUUUCAGCUCUGGAAAUCGACAAACGGUUCGACUCCUGCACCUUCUAAACGGAGUCACUUUAGAGCUUUUUAUCCGGCCUCUCCUGCACGGACAGAUUGCCAGCUUAACUGCUCUGCCUGGAGUCACUAACAUGCCUUGGAUCUCCCGUCUGUGGGAAGCAAGCCAAACCCAGCAUCUUGCGACUGCAGAGGACACCGUCACUUUCCCCGGGAAGUGCAGACCCGUGAACCACAGCUGUGAUUCGCUUCCAUCUAUUGUCUGAAUUCCAGUUACUUGACACCUUCAAGUUGGAGCUUUCCUUCUCUCUCUCUAAUCCCAGUAAAACAUGUUUCUGAAGCAAAUGCUGCUUUUCCCUGAGAAUGAAUAUUGCAUUUUCCCUAAAACAGGGCAAGGCAAAUGCCCUCUUGCUAUCAAGAUGGUGAGGCUCCCACGGAGCCCAGAGGCUCUGGCAUCUCCACUACCAGCCUCGUUCAGCACCAGAUCCAGUUCAUGUUUUCUGUGCUUUUGAGAGAUGCACUCUCCUCCGUGAUUGCGGUGGUAAUUACGCAAAUGAUCUGCUCCACUGUCACUUCUAGUCAAAGGUGUCACCUAAAAUUAAAAAUUCAUGCAAAAUCUAGAGAUGCAACUUUUAAGCAGCCAGUGGAGACCUGAUCUGAUUUUACAAUCCAUGUUUUACUUAACCCCUUCGCGUCCCUUGGCUGUGGGAGGUGUGGGGCUGCUGACGACUUCGUGGGCCACUGGGAGAUGCCUGUGUGUGUUCACUCGGGCUACGGCCGCAAAAUCCCACUGGCUGGGCAGCUUAAAUGACAGAAAUUUAUUUUCUCAAAACUCUGGUGUCUGUAAGCCAAGACCAGGCUGUCAGCAGGGUUGCUUUUUCCUGAAGUCUCUCUCCUUGGCUUGUGGAUGGCCGUCCUCUCCCUCUGUUUUCACAUGGUCUUCCUGUGUAUGUGUCUGCCUCCUAAUUUCUUCUUUUUAUAAGGACUUGGGUCAUAUUGGAUUAAGGCCCACCAUAAUGGCCUCUUUUUAAGUUCAUUACUACUAUACAGACUCUGUCUCCAAAUGCAGUCACAUCCUGAGGUUCUGGGUUUAAGAGGCAGAAUUUCGGGGGAAGCAACUCAGCCCAUGAAAGUGUCCCACUCCCCUCUAAGGCAGACCAAGUGGGCAGGUCCAGCCGCCUGGGGGCAUCUCUGUUUCUGGUGAAUCCAGGUUCACCAGACCACCAUUGGAUUCAAGUCACAAGAAAUUCUAUUCCUAACUAUGGUGAAUCAGGGGGCUUCGCUUCUGAAAAAUUUCUUGGACAUCUUAAAUAUUGGGGUUUGCCAAGCCAGGGUGAGACUAAGAUGCUUACUUUUAUAACAGCAUCUUCCAUUUGUUUGUGCUUUAAGAUAUUGAUGGAUCCAUGCGUGACAGGUGAAGCAUAUUAUUGUUAUUAUUAUCAAUUUUAAUUUUGCAAAUAUUUAAAUUGACAUACAGCAAAGUUAAAUCUGGGGGGCAUUUAGUGUAUGUCUAUGAGUUUUCAUAUAUACGAAGUCAUGUAACCAACACCUCAAUCAGGAUAUCACGACAGUUCUAUCACCUUCUCCCCAGCCCCCAAAUUUCCUCCUGUUGUCCUGUAGUAGUCAGAUCCUCCACACACCUACUGGUAAGUUCUUAAUCCUUAUAGUUUAACUUUUGUGAGAAUGCCGCAUCCAUGGAACCAUGUCAUACGUAACCUGUGGAGAAUUGCCUCUUCAACCCAGUGUGGUGCCUUUGACUUUCAACCAUGUUGGAUGUAUCAAUAACUUACCCUUUUUUAUUGCCGAGCGGUAUUCCACUGCAUGAAUGGACCUCAUCUGCUUCAUCCAUUCACCCACUGAAAGUUAAUUUGUGUCAGUCUCAGUUUUCAGUGAUUAGAAAUAAAACUGCUGCAAAUAUCCGCA